AUAUCAAUAAGCGGAGGAAAAGAAACUAACAAGGAUUCCCCUAGUAACGGCGAGUGAACCGGGAAGAGCUCAAAUUUGUAAUCUGGCGCGCUCCGUGCGUCCGAGUUGUAAUCUACAGAAGCGUUUUCCGCGCCGGACCGUGUCCAAGUCCCUUGGAACAGGGUAUCAAAGAGGGUGACAAUCCCGUGCUUGACACGACGACCGGUGCUAUGUGAUACGUUUUCGACGAGUCGAGUUGUUUGGGAAUGCAGCUCAAAACGGGUGGUAAAUUCCAUCUAAAGCUAAAUAUUGGCGAGAGACCGAUAGCGCACAAGUA
rnacentral:rRNA from 1 species